rnacentral:rRNA from 1 species
GUGGGGAAUAUUGGACAAUGGGCGCAAGCCUGAUCCAGCCAUGCCGCGUGAGUGAUGAAGGCCUUAGGGUUGUAAAGCUCUUUCGUCAGGGAAGAUAAUGACGGUACCUGAAGAAGAAGCCCCGGCUAACUUCGUGCCAGCAGCCGCGGUAAUACGAAGGGGGCUAGCGUUGCUCGGAAUCACUGGGCGUAAAGCGCACGUAGGCGGACAUUUAAGUCAGGGGUGAAAUCCCAGAGCUCAACUCUGGAACUGCCUUUGAUACUGGGUGUCUUGAGUAUGGAAGAGGUAAGUGGAAUUCCGAGUGUAGAGGUGAAAUUCGUAGAUAUUCGGAGGAACACCAGUGGCGAAGGCGGCUUACUGGUCCAUUACUGACGCUGAGGUGCGAAAGCGUGGGGAGCAAACAGGAUUAGAAACCCUGGUAGUCC